GAUAAACGCUGGCGGCGUGCAUAACACAUGCAAGUCGAACGAUGAAACUUAACUGAUUUCUUCGGAAUGAUUUUAAGUGGAGUAGUGGCGGACGGGUGAGUAACGCGUGAGUAACCUGCCUUGCACAAGGGGAUAGCCGUUGGAAACGACGAAUAAUACCCUAUGAUAUAAACUCUUCGCAUGAAGAGCUUAUCAAAGAUUUAUCGGUGUAAGAUUGACUCGCGUCUGAUUAGCUAGUUGGUGGGGUAACAGCCUACCAAGGCAACGAUCAGUAGCCGGCUUGAGAGCGUGUACGGCCACAUUGGGACUGCGACACGGCCCAGACUCCUACGGGAGGCAGCAGUGGUGAAUUUUGCACAAUGGGGGCAACCCUGAUGCAGCGACGCCGCGUGAUUUAGAAGGCCUUCGGGUUGUAAAAAUCUUUUGUAUGGGAAGAAAAUGACAGUACCAUACGAAUAAGGACCGGCUAAUUACGUG
rnacentral:rRNA from 1 species